GCCCAGUCAGUUGAACAUGAGACUCCUGAUCUCAAGGUUGUGAGUUCAAGUCCCAUGUUGGGCA
rnacentral:tRNA from 1 species